UGCUGACUGUUGCCAGUUGAGGGGUCUGCACUGCGCUGCCACUGCAGAGAGCUCAGUAGCAGCAUGAGCAGCCCUCCGGGUUGCAUGCUUUUCCCUCCAUCUGAAGAUGUGAAGCUGAGGAGGGAGGCAGAGGGCAGCACCUGAGGCCAAAAGGCUGGCAGAAACUCAGCUUUCAAAGGCCUCUGAGCUCCUUCCGCUGCAGCCAUCUCCAGUGAGAAAGCACCCCCUCCUGGUGCCACGGAAACAAGGAUUCUUGGUCCAGUUCCUCCAAGGAGCAGGGCUGCAGCUGCACAGCAGAAGGGAAGUGGGCCGGAGCACGCAUGUCAUUUACAACAUUGAAAUUGGAUUCUUCCCAGCUGGGGAGCCGUCACCCUGUGGAGUCAGAUCAAUGUUCAGAGCACGAUGCAAACUCAUGCUGGGUUUUUGUAUGGGCCUCACCCCAUGGCUUUUGACAGUCAGUUGUUCAGUCAAUAAACAA